rfam:Papio anubis isolate 1X1155 chromosome 8, whole genome shotgun sequence.
CAAGGCAUAGCUUAAUAUAAAGCAUCCGGCUUACACCCUGAAGACCUCAAUAUAAUUUGAUUGCCUUGA